GACGAACGCUGGCGGCGUGCUUAACACAUGCAAGUCGAACGGGAUACGGGCUUUCGGGCCUGGAGAGAGCGGCGAACGGGUGAGUAACACGUAAGAAACCGGCUGGCAGCGUUGGAUUACCGUCGGGAAAUCGGCCCUAAAACGGGAAAUUCUUGCUGCAUCGAGUGGGGGGGCUUGGGAAGGGACGCUGGCGGAGGAUGGUCUUGCGGCGUAUCAGCUUGUUGGGGGGGUGGUGGCCUACCAAGGCGAUGAUGAGUAGCUGGCCUGGGAGGAUGAGCGGUCACACUGGAACUGAGACACGGUCCAGACUCCUACGGGAGGCAGCAGUGGGGAAUAUUGGACAAUGGGCGAAAGCCUGAUCCAGCCAUGCCGCGUGUGUGAAGAAGGUCUUCGGAUUGUAAAGGACUUCACGUUGGGAGGAAGGGCAGUAAGUUAAUAUCUUGCUGUUUUGAGGUUACCAACAGAAGAAGCACCGGCUAACUUCGUG
rnacentral:rRNA from 1 species